rnacentral:rRNA from 1 species
UACGGAGGGUGCAAGCGUUAUCCGGAUUCACUGGGUUUAAAGGGAGCGUAGGUGGGUUGGUAAGUCAGUGGUGAAAUCCCCGAGCUUAACUUGGGAACUGCCAUUGAUACUAUCAGUCUUGAAUACUGUGGAGGUUAGCGGAAUAUGUCAUGUAGCGGUGAAAUGCUUAGAUAUGACAUAGAACACCAAUUGCGAAGGCAGCUGGCUACACAAAUAUUGACACUGAGGCACGAAAGCGUGGGGAUCAAACAGG